rnacentral:rRNA from 1 species
AGAGUUUGAUCAUGGCUCAGAUUGAACGCUGGCGGCAGGCUUAACACAUGCAAGUCGAACGGUAACAGGAGAAAGCUUGCUUUCUUGCUGACGAGUGGCGGACGGGUGAGUAAUGCUUGGGAAUCUGGCUUAUGGAGGGGGAUAACGACGGGAAACUGUCGCUAAUACCGCGUAGAAUCGGGAGAUGAAAGUGUGGGACCUUCGGGCCACAUGCCAUAGGAUGAGCCCAAGUGGGAUUAGGUAGUUGGUGGGGUAAAGGCCUACCAAGCCGACGAUCUCUAGCUGGUCUGAGAGGAUGACCAGCCACACCGGGACUGAGACACGGCCCGGACUCCUACGGGAGGCAGCAGUGGGGAAUAUUGCGCAAUGGGGGCAACCCUGACGCAGCCAUGCCGCGUGAAUGAAGAAGGCCUUCGGGUUGUAAAGUUCUUUCGGUGACGAGGAAGGUUGUUGUGUUAAUAGCGCAACAAAUUGACGUUAAUCACAGAAGAAGCACCGGCUAACUCCGUGCCAGCAGCCGCGGUAAUACGGAGGGUGCGAGCGUUAUUCGGAAUUACUGGGCGUAAAGCGCACGCAGGCGGUUGCCCAAGUCAGAUGUGAAAGCCCCGGGCUUAACCUGGGAACUGCAUUUGAAACUGGGCGACUAGAGUAUGAAAGAGGAAAGCGGAAUUUCCAGUGUAGCAGUGAAAUGCGUAGAUAUUGGAAGGAACACCGAUGGCGAAGGCAGCUUUCUGGGUCGAUACUGACGCUCAUGUGCGAAAGCGUGGGGAGCAAACAGGAUUAGAUACCCUGGUAGUCCACGCCCUAAACG